GCUGCCAACGAGGGGAGGAUCUCGCCGGGCAAAUCCCAACGGUCUCACCUGGCUCCGUGGCGAGCUCCCAUGGGGGAAACAAAAAUAUCAACAAAACAGGACAACAUGCCAAAAACAAGCUGGCUUGGGCUCCAGUCUCUGGAGGGUGCUUUCAUCUCUCUUCUCCGCCAGCUCUGUGGUCCCAAGGAUGCUCCUCUAGGUAACACUGCCAGCCUCGCCUCCCUGCCUGUAACUCCACCGGCUUCCUGCCUCCUUUUCCUCAUGGAGGGCUCCCACCGGGGUGCCACAGCCUUGGGUGCGGGGCGGGGGUGGUGAGGAAACGCUGAGCGUGACAAAUACUUGAUCCUUUGCUGAGGAGAUUGGGUUUCCUUCCCUGAGUGAUGGGUAGCCAUUGAAAAUUUGUUUUGUUUUGUUUUGUUUUGAGACGGAGUCUCGCUCUGUCGCCCAGGCUGGAGUGCAGUGG
rnacentral:lncRNA from 1 species